CUCCCAGGUACCCCAACUCAUCAGAGCAGAAAUGGUGACCUUCAGGUCGAACCCUGCUCUUCCUCCUGUGUCCCCAGCUAGAAAAGGCCCCUGCCCGAGUGGCUGCAGAAAGAAACAGGAGAGUCCUUAGGGUCCCCUCCCUCUCAGCACAAUCCAGGCGACCAUCGGUGCUCAAGUCACUGCUGACAGAGACGUCAAGUCUGCCCACUGCUCCCAGGCCUCCUGCCCUCCUCACCGAGCCAUGGCUCCCUCAAAGCACAUCUGCCCACGGACACUGCAGCUCCGGGUGUAGAACUGACUGUAGACCGAGCGACUGUGUCACUGUCCUGCUCACAGGCCCUCAAGGCCCUCCCCAAUCUACCUACCUACCUCUACUCCCACCGCCCCUCCCCCCACCCUUCAUGGCACCAGGCCUAGCUCUACAGCUCCUAUUACUCAGCCCGUCUAUCCCUUUGCAGUAGCCCAGAAUGGGCAGAAUGGUCUCCAUCAGAGAGAUAAGAAAAGGCUGCUCAGAGAAAGGUAGGAACCUGCCCAGGGUCAUACCGUGUAAGACAGGUUGUCCCUCGGCAUGACCAGCACACUCCCCCCACCUUCCUUCUAUCCGCACCCAGCAGAUGCAUGCCCCCGCCCCUCCCUUCACUCAGC